rnacentral:misc_RNA from 1 species
GUUGGUGAACCAGCGGAGGGAUCAUUACUGAGUUGUAAAACUCCAAACCCACUGUGAACCUUACCUAAAUUAUAAAUGCUUCGGCGGGCAGCUCCAGGGCGGAGCUGUAGCCUGUAAAGGCGCCCGCCGGAGGUAUCAAACCCUUCUAUAUUUUAGCACUAUUCUGAGUCAAAUCAUAAUAAGUCAAAACUUUCAGCAACGGAUCUCUUGGUUCUG